UAAUGCCACUGAUAAAUGUGCAAGUAGACACAUCAGCACAACAUACUGACAAGGCAUUCGGGAAAUAGAGCGACUUAUUGAAUCUGCAUUAUGUUUUACAAAUACCUUCUUCUCACUGUUCUUAUUCUCCUCGUUGUAGACUGCCAAGGCAACCCCAAUGCGUGUCAAGAGCUAAGAGGAGAAUGCAUCUCGCCCAAGAGACCAUGUGCAGGUUUCAUGAUGCAGGGUAUAUGUCCUGGAGGCAUGUCAUGCUGCAUACAACCAACUUAGUGAGUCGACACCUUCAGUCCACGUGUGAACGGGAUCUGCCUCAUCGCUGCAUCACCUGUUAUCCGUCUUGACUGAUUAAAGAAUAUGACUACAUGUAGUCA